rnacentral:rRNA from 1 species
CCCUUAGAUGUUCUGGGCCGCACGCGCGCUACACUGACUGCUCCAACAAGUUACCUGGGCUGACAAGCAUCCGGGAAAUCUUACAAAGGCAGUCGUGAUGGGGAUAGAUUCUUGUAAUUUUUGAUCUUCAACGAGGAAUUCCUAGUAAACGCAAGUCAUCAGCUUGCAUUGAUUACGUCCCUGCCCUUUGUACACACCGCCCGUCGCAUCUACCGAUUGAAUGGAGAGGCAAAAUCUUCGGACCGUGACGCUUGGGAGUCAAAUCUCGGGCUGUCGUGGGAAGUGGAUUAAACCUUUCUAUUUAGAGGAAGGUAAAGUCGUAACA